AAAUUAAGGGUGUACAUCUGAUGCAUGUUUCCCAAGAUGGAGGGAAUCUGGUGCAUUAAAUGGUCUGUGUUUCCAAGACACCAUGGACAUUCAGAGGAUUAUUUCAAGCCUCUUUAACACAUGUGAACCUCAUUUACUGGUGGUGUCAGUCCUGAGUUUAUUUCCUAGCAGCGGCUAACCCUAACACUACUGAUUUGCAAAGAAAAUUCAUCGUAAGGACACCUAUAAUUAAUUAGAUUAAUAACAUUCAGUGGAGCAAUGAUAUACUGCUAAAUCCAGAAUGAAGAUGAAGCAGAGGAAAUGAACCAAUCUAGACUGA